AGAGUUUGAUCAUGGCUCAGAUUGAACGCUGGCGGCAUGCCUUACACAUGCAAGUCGAACGGUAACMGCACUUCSGUGGCUGACGAGUGGCGAACGGGUGAGUAAUACAUCGGAACGUGCCCGAGAGUGGGGGAUAACGCAGCGAAAGCUGUGCUAAUACCGCAUACGAUCUACGGAUGAAAGCAGGGGACCGCAAGGCCUUGCGCUCACGGAGCGGCCGAUGGCAGAUUAGGUAGUUGGUGGGAUAAAAGCUUACCAAGCCGACGAUCUGUAGCUGGUCUGAGAGGACGACCAGCCACACUGGGACUGAGACACGGCCCAGACUCCUACGGGAGGCAGCAGUGGGGAAUUUUGGACAAUGGGCGAAAGCCUGAUCCAGCCAUGCCGCGUGCAGGAUGAAGGCCUUCGGGUUGUAAACUGCUUUUGUACGGAACGAAAAGGUCUUUUCUAAUAAAGAAGGCUCAUGACGGUACCGUAUGA
rnacentral:rRNA from 1 species